rnacentral:misc_RNA from 1 species
AAUUCUCUGAUUUAUUGUAAGAAGAGGAUACACUUAAGAAAGCUAUCAUAUCACCAAAUUAACUUCAUUAACUGAGGAAAAUGGCAACAGAAGAAUAAUGUACUAUAAAAUAUUAGGAGCCUCAUCAAUAUCUUCAGAAGCAACAUUGUCCUAUUUUUUUGGAUCAGUUCUUAAUGAUACGUUCACAGCUAUUGGCAGAAUGAACAUUGUGCACAAAAUAAAAGGCUGCUAACAAUUUAAUCUCAAAAUUCCAAACAUAUAUAAAUUUAGAGAGAUUCUCACAAAAUGUACAUUCACAUAACUGAAACUCAUUCCUCCUUUAGUCACAUUGUGUGCAGCUUUAAUCUAUGACCUUCAUUUUCUUCUCAUACAAUCUACAUCAGACUGCUUUAUAACAUGAAACUUCAGCCCUCUCAUUCUUCCAAGACACAGUAUUCAUUUCCCUUCGACUCUUCAAUAAAAUAAUUUCUACUCUUAACAAUUCUCAGUCCAGGGGCAAAGCUACCUUAAAGAAACUUGCUUCUACACUGUUAAGCCAUCUUUAGUUCUCAUAUAUCUCUACCUUUACCCCUUUAGUAGGGGUCAGAGCAGAAGCAGGCAUUAACAACUUCACGAAUUCCUCUUGGGCACUAGUUUUAACUGCUCUGCUUUCAUUAACUUGAUGAAGAGAACAAGAGUCAAGAACAGGUUUUUGCUGGAUCUCCCUAUGAAUAUCCAUAGCUCCAACUUGUGAAGCCAAAUGAUCAACUUGAUCUUCAAAACAUGUUUUUCCCUUCUCAUUGAUGUUAGAAAGUAAGCCCAAAAUUUUCUUUUGACCAUAUGCAGCAUUUUCGCCCACCUUCUGUGACAUGAUUAUGUUUUCAGCCUCAGACACGGAACUCGAGUUGCAUGUAACACCAAGUCCUCCAAUGAUGCGAGUAAAGUCUGCAUCUUUUACGGGACCUUUGUUCUCACUCUGUGGGCUCAUUUUAUUCUUAUGUAGGCUCUCAUUCCUAAUGUCUGGAUUGUUUAUUUCUGUAUCACAAUCUUUAGGGGCAAUUUUUUCAGCCUUCACGUUAUCUUGCCUACCAUUUCCAGGAGACAUUCUACUUUGAACUUUCAGAGGCAUGCCAGGACAGUAUAUUCCAUUUCUUGAAGCGCUACAGACCUUUGAUGCAUUACCUGGGGGUGCCUGAAGAGGUAAAGGAGGUUUAGGUUUGAUUUCUGAGGCAUUUUGCUGAGCACUGGCUUUGGUGCCCCGAACUGCCAAUGCAAUUGGUUGAAGCCUUCCAAGUUUUGCUUCGUUUGACCUACCACUGGGGCUAACAUUUUCCACCCCAUAUCUGGGCAAGCCCCUGGGUACAGCUGGAUGUGAUUGGUUCCUUCCGCUGGGAGUGCGCACUUCUGAUCUCACCCCAUCAAAGAAGCCAAUUUUUGGUGAUGGCAUCCGAAGCCCUGACGGUUUGAUUGAAUCUGGAUGAACAACUGCACCACUUCCUGUUGAAACUCUCUUUCCACACUCACUUGGCAGUCCAAUGACCUGGGUACCAUGUCCCACUGAGCAUUUGUCACUAGAAUGGUUUUGAGAGUCCAAAACUUGGGAAGCAUCACCAUUGUCAUAAGCAUCCGUGCAAAAGCGAGUGUCAAGGCUAGGUCUUGAACUGUUAGUUCUUUUAUUAAGGGUAGAAGUUGGUGACAUCGAUUCCAAAGACCAUUCACUGAUAGAACUAGCAGGUGAUAUGCUAGCAGAGAACUUGGCCUUGGUCACAGAAGGUGAGAUACGUGGACUCAUAGACUGAUUCUUACUUCUUGAUUCAGUUUUCAAAGUGGAUUUGACAGAUGAAACAGUGGAAAAAUGAUUGCCAGUUUUGGAAUCAAUUUUUCUUUUCUCACUAUACAAAGAACAUCUACUGCUACCGUCAGAUGACAAGCUUCCCAAACUAUCAAUGGUGGAAGAUGAAGUUCUUAGCUCCGACUUAGAUGCCAUUGAUGAUUGCAAAGAGGACUUGAAAGGAAGUGUGGGCUUGGGGACAGUAUUUCGUGAACCACCCAUAUAAGGAGGUUUAGCUCCUCUAACUGCCACUAUUUAAUAAAUUGACAGUCAAAUACAUUUUGUGUAUGGAAAGAAUAAUUAUGAAUAAAAAGUUUAUAUUACCAGUCAAAUUCUUUGGUUUAUCUGAAUGACCAGCUGAAUAUUUUGCACUGUCCUUUUCCAUUUUGACACGGUUGGCACCCAAGGAAGCUCUUUUGGUUGCUGUUGUUGAGAUGGGACUAACUCUGCCAGCUCUAUUGGGUGGCUUACGAACAGAAGAAGUCGACUCUUCAUUCAUCAAACCAGACUUUGAAGCUUGUGGAGUAGGAGAGACCUGGUUUGCCAGUUUUCCUGAUCCUUUAAUGGCAACGGUUAGCUUCCUGGGAGCCGCUUUAGUCUUUAACUUUUUUUGAACAACAAUGUCCACUUUCUCUGAAGCUGAAAGGAAAGGCACUGUUAGUUUAAAAGUAAUCAAACCAGAAGAUGUGUUCUGUACAUCAAUUAAAAUAUCCAACCAAAAUCUACAGGGUAACCAACAAAACAGAUUUGCCCCAUCAGUCGGAUCCUAUAAUUAAUAAUUUCAUCAUAGCACAAAAACAAAGGAAGAAUAUCCUGAAAAAUCCAAACCUAUUCAUGCAUUUAAAGGGGAUGAGAAUGGUAGCUGAACACCACACAGCAAACACAAAUAGACCCAUUUAAAAUUGUUCUUUGAUCUUUCCUACACAGUUAUUUGUGUAAGGGAGAUAAAAGGCCAGACAGACCAAGAAUGAAUUUUAUAAAAUGCAUGAGUAUCUUUUACCUUGUCAUUUCAGAAGAGACUGAAUGCACACUGAAGGUAAAAUUGAAUUGGCCAAGACAUUCAAGUUGUUACAUCAAACAGAAUUCUAAUCCAACGGAGCUGGAAAGCUGCACAAUGGUGGCAGAGGAGGAAAUUGAUGUGGAUUUUCUGGCAGUAAUACUGGGACAUAAGGAGUGCCCUUGGUUGCAUUGUUGACAAAAAUAAUGCAAUUUCUCCUUGAUGGAAUGAUAAAUUCUACUGGUGUGAAGAGAGCUGGUAAUGGGGUGAAGAGGUGAUAUGGAUAUGAUGCAAUAUUUUCUACUGUCCUAUUUCAAAUAUAAUAUUAAAGGGAAACUCACAUUUGAUAAGUUGGCCUUCAUUUACUCCAGACCCCGCUUUACCAUGUGAAACUGCUGCAUUGGAUCCUUUACUAGAUUUCUGGAUUGAAGCUCUUAUAUCUCCAAAUAAGUCAUCCUUGAGAGUUCCUAAUGUUGAAUUAUCAGUGGCAAAUGUAGAUAUUGAAUCAGUAGAUCUGUGUAUAUCCUCCUCAAUUCCCAGCAAUAUAUGAUUUUUUCCUCCUUUCUCAGUUCCUCCUAUAAUAGUAGAUAACUCCUCUGGUUCCAAAACACCUGCACUUGUGAAGAAAGCACUGUCCCAGGCUAAACUUUUGCGCAAGUUGUACUUUUCAUUUUUUCUUGUCUUUUCUUGUUCUGCUAAUUCAAAUGGUUGAGUGGCUUGUUCAUCUCCUUCAAGAGAGUCUUCCGGUUCGUCCACACCCACCAUUUGAACAGUUUUGUGCUCUGUCUGUUUAUCUGAACAUGCACCGAUGCCAGAUAAUGCAAAAGGAAUUUUCUUUUCUGAUUGUAACACAUAAAGUCGAAAUAAAAGCACAAAUACAAGCUGCAAAAAUUAAGCUUUUAUAUAAGCCAACCCCUAAAAUCCUCAUAGGAACAAACAUUGUUUUCCAUUUCUCAGCAAAGGGAGCCCAAGACUUUAUCUACCACAACAAGCUUCUCAUAUGAUCAAUGUAGGACAUUGAAACCGUAACAUUGCUCAACAGCAUUUUGAAGACCGAAAAUCUGAAUAAGCAUAACUUUAUCUUUGUUAUAUAAAAGCUAACUUACAUAACCCGCUAAAUUGUUAACAUAUAUUCCUAAAUAAUGCUAUAUGUUAACAAAAAUAAUGAAAAUUUUUAAUAAUGUUAAUUUAAGCAAUUCAUUUUCCUUCACAAUUCUAAAUUCAAUGGAUAACAAUCAACUCAACUUCAAAUCUACAAUCAUUUCUCAACUCAACUUCGCAUCUAUAAUUUUUUCAUUCAUUUCUUCCAAUUAUCGAUCAAUUUCCCGACUCUGAAGUGAUAAUUUAGUUUCAAAAUUGCAUAAUCAGAAUAACCAAAUAAUAAACUUAACAUUUUUACUAAAAAAAAGAAUCAAAAUAAUAAAAUCAACAAUAUCAAUCAGCUACACAUCAAAAGAAUACUAAUCUUUAAUAACGAAAGGAAAAAAGUUAUGGAGCUCAAUUGCAGAAGAAAAUGCCAUAUUAAGAUCAUAAUUCCCACAAGAACGUGACAAAUCGAGAAAAGAUAAAAGUAUAGCGUGAAAAACCUGGAAAAUGGGGAAAUUGAUGAUCGCGAGAAGGAGAAUUGUAGAGGCAAUCGUCCUCGAAGCAGACAUCAAGGAGACUUAGCAUUUUAUCUUCAAGAACCAAAUUCUCCUUGGGUCCACUCAUUGUAUAGAUCGAUUAACGAAGUUAAAAUAGAAUUGGUAAGGUUUUGAUUGAUUCAAAAGAGAGAAAUUGAAUGGGACUGAGAGAAAAAAAGUGGUUUUCUUUCUGGCGGAGAGAGCGAGGGAGAUGAGCUUUUGAAUUUUGAAGAAGCGGCGAUUCGGAAUUAAAAUAUUAAAAAAAAGGGAUAAAUUAUAUAUACCUUGAAGGAAAGAGCAGUGAUGCCAAUACUCAAAAAAUAUACAUAUUUCUAUUGAUGGGUGGAACUGAAUA